AGGAUAAACGCUGGCGGCGUGCCUAACACAUGCAAGUCGAACGUCCUACGCAAGUAGGGAGUGGCGGACGGGUGAGUAACACGUGGGCAAUCUACCUUUCGGUGAGGAAUACCGGCGAGAAAUCGCCGACAAUACCGCAUACGCUUCGCAAGAAGCAAAGUCGCAAGACGCCGGAGGAGGAGCCUGCGCCCGAUUAGCUCGUUGGUGGAGUAAUGGUCUACCAAGGCGACGAUCGGUAGCUGGUCUGAGAGGAUGAUCAGCCACACUGGGAUUGAGAACGGCCCAGACUCCUACGGGGGGCAGCAGUGAGGAAUUUUCCGCAAUGCACGCAAGUGUGACGGAGCGACGCCGCGUGUGGGACGAAGUCCUUCGGGGUGUAAACCACUGUCGAGGGGUAAGAAAGUUCUGAUCUACCCCAGAGGAAGGCACGGCUAACUCUGUGCCAGCAGCCGC
rnacentral:rRNA from 1 species